rnacentral:rRNA from 1 species
GACGAACGCUGGCGGCGUGCUUAACACAUGCAAGUCGAACGGUGAAGCUCCAGCUUGCUGGGGUGGAUCAGUGGCGAACGGGUGAGUAACACGUGAGCAACCUGCCCCUGACUCUGGAAUAAGCGCUGGAAACGGCGUCUAAUACUGGAUACGAGAAGGGUCCGCAUGGGCACUUUCGGGAAAGUUCUUCGGUUGGGGAUGGGCUCGCGGCCUAUCAGCUUGUUGGUGAGGUAAUGGCUCACCAAGGCGACGACGGGUAGCCGGCCUGAGAGGGCGACCGGCCACACUGGGACUGAGACACGGCCCAGACUCCUACGGGAGGCAGCAGUGGGGAAUAUUGCCCAAUGGGCGAAAGCCUGAUGCAGCGACGCCGCGUGAGGGAUGACGGCCUUCGGGUUGUAAACCUCUUUCAGCAGGGAAGAAGCGAAAGUGACGGUACCUGCAGAAGAAGCACCGGCUAACUACGUG